rnacentral:lncRNA from 1 species
GACACCUACACUGGUUCCUCAGGUACCGGGACCUGUAGUGGAGGAUUGAGCCCACUGAGCAUCUCACUGUACAGGCAGGUGGCAAGCAGGAGAGCUCCAGCCUAGGAGAGGAGCUCCAAGAGCAGUUUCCAGAUGUGCACGGUGCCAGGCUCUUCAAAGGUGGGUCCUGCAGGGGCAAUGCUGGCUGCCAAGAGGAAAACCUCCCGCUGGUUAUCGAUAGCCUGUAGACCCAGCUCCCGCUGCAGCUCCCCCAUACUCAUGGCCUCGCUCAGGUCCUGGGUGAGACACAGAAGUCCGAACACAGCUGGCAGCAUUUCCUAACACACUGACACCCUUGUCGUUCAUGAAACACACUGUUCUUAGGCUAUCCCCGGGAAUAUCAGGAAACACACUGUUCUUAGGCUAUCCCCGGGAAUAUCAGGAAACACACUGUUCUUAGGCUAUCCCCGGGAAUAUCAGGAAACACACUGUUCUUAGGCUAUCCCCGGGAAUAUCAGGCCCCAAGUUCCCAGAAGUAGCCUCUGGACCCCUUGGCCUAAACUCAAUGCUCUCUCCCUCACCCUGGGCUCUCCUUUGUACCAACCUCUUUUCAUUGCAUCAUUAGCCACUGUUUUGAGACGGAGUUUUGCUCUGUCACCCAGGCUGGAGUGCAGU